rnacentral:rRNA from 1 species
UUAUGAUUACCCUGAACGGUGGAUCACUUGGCUCGU